rnacentral:rRNA from 1 species
CCUUUGGUCGUCCGAGUUGUAGUCUGGAGAAGCGUCUUCCGCGCCGGACCGUGUACAAGUCCCUUGGAACGGGGCGUCAUAGAGGGUGAGAAUCCCGUCUUUGACACGGACCGCCGGUGCUUUGUGAUGCGCUCUCAAAGAGUCGAGUUGUUUGGGAAUGCAGCUCAAAACGGGUGGUAAAUUCCAUCUAAAGCUAAAUAUUGGCGAAAGACCGAUAGCGAACAAGUACCGUGAGGGAAAGAUGAAAAGCACUUUGGAAAGAGAGUUAAACAGUACGUGAAAUUGUUGAAAGGGAAACGCUUGAAGUCAGUCGCGUCUCUUGGGACUCAGCCUUGCUUUUGCCUGGCGUACUUCCUGAGGUGACGGGCCAGCAUCGAUUUUGACCGUCGGAGAAAGGCCUUGGGAAUGUGGCACCUCUGGGUGUGUUAUAGCCCUGGGUCGCAUGCGACGGUUGGGAUCGAGGACCGCAGCACGCCUUUUUGGCCGGGGUUCGCCCACGUAACGUGCUUAGGAUGCUGGCGUAAUGGCUUUAAGCGACCCGUCUUGAAACACGGACCAAGGAGUCUAACAUGCCCGCGAGUGUUUGGGUGGAAAACCCGGACGCGUAAUGAAAGUGAAAUGUUGGGACCUCUGUCGCGGAGGGCACCGACGCCCGGACCAGACCUUCUGUGACGGCUCCGAGGUAGAGCGUGCAUGCUGGGACCCGAAAGAUGGUGAACUAUGCCUGAGUAGGGUGAAGCCAGAGGAAACUCUGGUGGAGGCUCGUAGCGAUUCUGACGUGCAAUCCGAUCGUCGAACUUGGGUAUAGGGGCGAAAGACUAAUCGA